UAGUUUUCGGUUGGUUUUGUAGCUGACUUUGGCUUGUUUUGAAAAUGAAAAAGCCCUCCUCACAACAAGCUGUCACGGAAGGAAGGUGAAGCCAGGCAGCAGCAGAGCAGUCCUGAGAGAAUUCCCUCAUAUUUCAGCUUGCCUUUAUCUCUCUCAGACGCUGCACUAUUUCCUACGGAGCCUGGGGAGGGACACAGUCACCAAAGUAAACACUCUCCUGUCCAAGACCUAUGGGAUAGGUAGAGAUAUGGCGCCCUCCCCUCAAGGGGCGGAGAGGAGGGGCUGCCAGCUGGAGAGAGAGAGAGGCGGGCCGGAUGAUUGCACGGCGCAGGGUUUAGCGCCGGGUUUAUUCUUCGUUUCCCAGCAGGGAGCGCACAUGCCUGGCACAGGGCGACACUUUGGACUUGGCUGCAACAGGCAAGGGGGAGACAGGGAUCAACUGCUGAAGUGGGAGGAAGAGCAGUGUUCGCUGCAACUGGCAAGAGAAGAUCUAUUGAGCUCCUGGUGCAGUGCCAAGGGCCCCUGGUGCACACAACUGUCACACGCAACUGUCACAAGGUGGUUUGACCUGACCAGCGCAUCCUCGCCCCCUGCCUGCGGGUGAAAUGUGACGGCUGUGCUGCUGCACCACAAUGUUCCGCCUGGGCCGCAGUUGGCUGUGUCCUCGUGAAGAAAGCCGCUUCGGAACUCGCACUGUGUAUGUUGGACCUCGACCAGCUUCAGAUAACGAUGCCUAUAUCCAUCCGAAAUUCUGUAAUAAUAGGAUUGUCUCUUCAAAGUAUACUGUAUGGAACUUUAUCCCCAAAAACCUGUUUGAGCAGUUUAGAAGAAUUGCAAAUUUUUACUUCCUCAUCAUCUUUCUUAUUCAGGCUAUUGUAGAUACACCAACAAGCCCAGUAACCAGUGGCCUUCCUCUAUUUUUUGUUAUUAUCGUCACAGCCAUUAAACAGGGCUAUGAAGACUGGUUGCGGCAUCGUACGGAUCAUGAAGUCAAUAACAGCACUGUCUAUGUUAUUGAAGGUUCCAAAUGUGUCAAAAAGGAGAGCGAAAAAAUUAAGGUUGGCGACAUAGUUGAAGUCAGUGACAAUGAGACUUUCCCAUGUGAUCUAGUCAUAUUGUCUACAAGCUGCCGUGAUGGGACCUGUACAGUUACAACAGCAAGCCUUGAUGGAGAGUCCAACUUUAAGACCUAUCAUGCUGUGCCAGAAACUGCUAUCUUGUGCUCUUAUGAAGGCCUCAAUGCUCUUUCAGCCACCAUUGAAUGUGAACAGCCUCAGCCUGAUUUAUACAAGUUUCAUGGAAGAAUAGACGUGAACACUAACCAGGAAAUCAAAGCAAGGUCUUUGGGUCCUGAAAAUUUGCUGCUUAAAGGAGCGACUUUAAAAAAUACAAAGACCAUCUACGGUGUUGCUAUAUAUACUGGCAUGGAAACCAAAAUGGCACUCAACUACCAAGGAAAGUCCCAAAAACGUUCAGCUGUUGAGAAAUCCAUAAAUGCCUUUUUAAUAGUAUAUUUAUGUAUACUGGUCUCCAAAGCAACCAUCUGCACUUCUUUGAAGUACCUGUGGCAGAACAGUUUAGCCAAUGAUGAAUCAUGGUACAACGAAAAAACACUCAAGGAAAAGCAGGCCUUCAAGAUUUUGAAGAUGUUCACAGACUUCCUCUCCUUCAUGGUGCUUUUUAACUUCAUCAUCCCAGUAUCCAUGUAUGUUACUGUAGAAAUGCAGAAAUUCCUAGGAUCCUUUUUCAUUGCUUGGGAUAUGGAAAUGUUUGACGAGGAAAUAAACGAAGGAGCUUUGGUUAACACAUCUGACCUUAAUGAAGAACUUGGCCAGGUAGAGUAUGUAUUUACAGAUAAGACUGGGACACUCACAGAAAAUAAAAUGGAGUUCAUUGAGUGUUGCAUUGAUGGCCACAAAUAUGCAAAUACAGAUGCAAUGGAUGGGUUGUCUUUGACCGAUGGUUCAGUUUAUUUUGGUAAAGCUAACCAGGACCUGGAAGAGUUAUUUUUAAGGGCUCUUUGCCUGUGCCACACAGUGCAGAUGAAGGAAGAGUGUCAAACUGACGGGCCAAGUUUUUCAUCUCUAGAUAAUUGUGCUUACGUCUCCUCAUCUCCUGAUGAAAUUGCCCUGGUGACUGGAGCCAAGAGGUAUGGGUUUACAUACUUGGGAACUGAAAAUAAUUUCAUGAGUGUUAAGAACCAGAAAGAUGAAAUAGAAAGGUUCCAGCUGCUGCAUGUGUUACAUUUUGAUCCAGUGAGACGGCGCAUGAGUGUUCUGGUUAAAGACAAUACAGGUAAAAUAUUCCUCUUCUGUAAAGGAGCAGAUAGUUCAAUGUUUCCCAGGGUGGCACGUGAUCAAGUGGAGAGAAUUAAGGUUCAUGUUGAAAAAAAUGCCCUGGAUGGAUAUAGAACUCUUUGCGUGGCAUUUAAAGAGAUCAGCCAGGAGUUGUAUAACAAUAUUAACAAACAGCUGGAGGAGGCAAAAUUAGCAUUGCAGGAUAGAGAAGAACGGCUGGCCAAAGUGUUUGAUGACAUAGAAGCUGAUAUGCACCUUCUUGGAGCAACAGCUGUGGAAGACAGGCUGCAGGAGCAGACGGCAGAGACUAUAGAGGCAUUACAUGCAGCUGGAAUGAAGGUUUGGGUGUUGACAGGAGAUAAACUGGAGACAGCAAAAUCUACCUGCUAUGCCUGUCGGCUUUUCCAGAGCAACACUGAACUAAUAGAACUGACCACAAAAGAUUUGGAAGAGUAUGAAAGGAAAGAGGACCGCCUGCAAGAGCUGCUUAUGGAAUAUCACAGAAAAUUGGUGCAAGAGACUUCCAAGCUGAAAGGGGGAGCUAACAGGAACUGGACUGGAAACCAGGACCAUGGUUUGAUUAUUGAUGGCGCCACAUUGUCUCUUAUAUUAAACUCCAACUGCAGUUCCAGCCAUUAUAAAAAUAUCUUCCUUCAGAUCUGCCAGAAAUGCUCUGCAGUCUUAUGCUGCCGGAUGGCUCCACUGCAGAAAGCACAGAUUGUUAAAAUGGUGAAGAACACAAAGGGGAGCCCGAUAACCUUAUCUGUGGGGGAUGGUGCAAAUGACGUCAGCAUGAUUUUGGAAGCACACGUUGGCAUAGGCAUAAAAGGAAAAGAAGGACGCCAAGCAGCACGCAGUAGUGACUAUGCUGUGCCAAAAUUUAAACAUUUAAGAAAACUUCUUUUAGCUCAUGGGCAUUUGUAUUAUGUAAGGAUAGCGCACCUUGUACAGUAUUUCUUUUAUAAGAACCUGUGCUUCAUUUUGCCACAGUUUUUAUACCAGUUCUUUUGUGGCUUUUCACAACAGCCACUUUAUGAUGCUGCAUACCUGACAAUGUACAACAUUUGUUUCACCUCUCUGCCAAUCUUGGCAUACAGCUUAUUGGAGCAGCACAUUAAUAUAGAAAUCUUAUCCUCAAAUCCUAAAUUAUAUAUGAGGAUAUCUGACAAUGCCAUGCUGCAGUGGGGUCCUUUCCUAUACUGGACAUUACUGGGGGCAUUUGAAGGACUAGUAUUUUUCUUUGGGCUUUACUUUCUCUUUCAGAAUCCAGCUCUGGAAGGCAAUGGUCAGGUAUUUGGAAACUGGUCGUUUGGAACAACGGUCUUCACUACAUUAGUGUUGACAGUUACAUUAAAGCUUGCGUUGGAUACUCGAUACUGGACAUGGAUGAACCAUUUGGUUAUAUGGGGCUCAUUAGCAUUCUAUGUUAUUUUCUCACUUUUUUGGGGAGGAAUUAUUUGGCCAUUCCUCAAACAGCAGAGAAUGUACUUUGUAUUUUCUCACAUCCUGACAUCUGUGUCAAUCUGGUUUGGGAUAAUUCUACUGAUUUUUGUCAGUCUAUUCCCAGAGAUUAUUUUGAUAUUUAUUAAGAAUCUUAAAACUGUGGUCCAAAAGGUAACCAAAAUCAUCCCUUCCUCAGGAACAUCAACUAUCGUCAUGCUCUUUCAAACCUCCAGCAAUCAGUUUCCCAUGGAAUGAUUAAGAAGAAAAUGAGCACCAAAACAGAUGAUUCAAAAUCUACACAAUCGACUGUCAGGCCUCUACUAUUGUGAACAUUCUCUGAUGAGUCUAAUGUAAUAUGAGAGGAUCUCAUAUCAGCCUCCAGUGCUAGUUUCCUACAAGAGUAUGGAGAAUGGAUUCAUUUCAAGAAUGAAAACUGAGGAUUAUAAAUUUAAAACCUUACUAUAAACUUCAGAUCAUUAUUAUAAAUGAUCUGUAAAUUUGACACUGUCCAAAUUCUACCACUAUAUACACAGUGACGGAUACCGUGAUAUUGGACAAUACUGUGGAAAUCAAAGAGUGCCAAACCUGCUCUGUUUAGAACCUAACCUGUCUGCAUUGCCAUUUGCAUGGGAAUGGGGCAUACAGACUGCAAGUCAGGAUCAGAUUGCGUUAAGCAACUUCUUCAGUGCAGUUAUGGCAUGCGUUGUACACCAGUCAUUCAGCAGGAGCCUACAGCGUGCCCAGCUAAUGCUGCACUGUAUGUUACACACCUAAAAGGUCAGCAGAUUCACCCACCUUACUAGCUCCCAGCUCACAAAUGUCUAUCUACUAAAAUCAACAACUAAUCUGCCCAGUUUCUUUCAAUUCAUUUCAAAUAUAAAUUUUAAUUGUUUUUUUUCCUUAAUGAAUAUUGCUGCAAAAUAUUUCUUAAACAUUUUCAAGUAUUUUUUCAAUUGGGGAAUUAAGAAAAUACAUUCCUGUCU